AGGGACUUGAUUUAAAUCUGUGCAUUGCUGAGGGCAAGGAGCGGAGAACAUGGACAGAGAGAAGUUUCAGCAGAAGGCUCUGAAGCAAACUAAGCAGAAGAAAUCCAAGUCGGCUGAAUUUCUGAUGGUUAAAGAAGAUAGAGAAGCUAUGGCAGGCAUUGGAAAUCCAGCUUUUAACAUGAGCAGCCCAGAUCUCUUAGCACAUCAGACUUCAGACAAGAGAGUUAUUAGACAUGACAUGCCUGAUCACACCCUUGCAGCUCACCAACAAAAAUUCGGGCUGCUGGCCUCUGCUGAACCAAAAGGAAAUGAAUACAGCAGAAAUUACUUUGACCCACUGAUGGAUGAGGAAAUCAACCCAAGGCAGUGUGGGAUGGAGGUCAGCAGAGAGGUUGAUAAUAGAAUUCUCUGUGAUUGAUUAAUGAGGCUAUUUGACAAGCAUGGACAAAGAGAAGCCCAAGAUGAGAGCUUCAAGGAGAUUCUGGAUUCUGAAGAGCCAGUGAGUUCCGGAAAGAGACCCGAACCCCGCAAAGAGGACAGCCAAGCCACUUCUGUCUACAGUGAGGCGUCUGGACGUGUUCAGAAAAGUAUAAUUCUGCCUGGAAGUUCUUCUUUGGAACAGGAUUUGAAAUUUGAAGGGGAAGGAUUCAAUCAGUACAUUCCUAUGUCCUGUUUAAAGACUGACAAAACAUUCAAGAAAGCACCAAGUCAACCAUUAAUUGCAGACCUAAAUGUCUGUAAAGAAGACAGUGCAGCCCAGCUCUGCAGCCUCCCAGAAGUAACUCAUGAAUCAAAGGGAGCAGCAGGACCUUGCUGGAAGCUGAUGGGGCAAGUGGACCUCAUGUUGAAACUGAAUAAAACUAUCUACCAGGUUGAGCAGAGUCAGGCGCCUCAGCAUCUUCAAAUACAGAUGAAAUGCAUAAGGGGCCUCAAGAACAAGGCUCCCCAAGGCUCUUACCUCCUCAGAGUGUCCUUGCUUGGUCGACCAGGUGGCUGUGCCUUGCAGUGGAGGCAAACGGAGCAGCUGAAGACCAGAACACAUCCAGUGAGGCAUGAUGGAAACUUUUAUGAUGUGGGCUGUAUUUCCAUGAAAGCCUUUAUGUGGUAGUCCCUCCUAAGAAAGAUGUGAAACCUGGCAUGGCUUUCUUGUUUGAACUCUGUCUCCUUCGUGGGAAAUAUGCUUGUUUUGACUGGGUUGUGGGCUGGGCAGCCUUCCCUUUGUGUGAUAACAACUUUGAUGUAGUGGAGGGAAAAUUCAAGUGUCCCCUUCUCUGAGGACAUUAUGACCAGACACUUGACAACUUCAGGAAAAUGGAAGAUUUGAUUUGCUUGGAUUUGGACCACUGGCUGUGCAAUCUCUACUUUCAGGUUAUUAAACUUCCUCUGUGUUUGGAUGAUCAACAAACCUAUGAAAGACAAACUCCGCUUUCCCCUGAAUUUCCAGUUUCUUUAAUGGCUGAAGCACAGAAAAUAGAAUCAGGCGUGGAGAAUACCCCCGGCCUUUCAGAGAAACAAACAGAGGAAAACAUUUGUGCAUCAUUGGAUGAUAAAGCUAAACCCUCCCUAUAUUCUUCUCAGGGAAGCAUUUCUAAUAAAAUUGGUCCCUGCCCUAUGGACUGUGAUCUCAAUCUCUUAAAAGAAGACCACGAAUUACACAAGAAGGGAGAACGUCUGAUCGAUCACUUGGUGAAGGAAAAAUCAGCUGCUUGGAGAACUACAGAAAUUGAGGAUUAUUCAGAGGAUGCAUCUUACCUGGAGGAACUGGAAGAACACAGAUUUUCAGUUUGCUGUUUUUCCGUUGCCGGUGGUACUGGAUCUGGAGGACUCCUCAAGCAUCUCCAUUUUGUGCGGGUGUCCGUGUUUUCAGAACUUCAGCUAGCUCAGUGGCGAAGCCAGGGCUUCUGGUACAUUAUCCUGCUGAUGGCUUCCCUCUGGUUCCUGAGGCUCUACCUGCAUUACCUUAGCCAGUGGCUGUUCCUCCAGGCCAUUUCAACUCCUGUUACAAAAUUCCAUUUUUCCCCUUUCACGGUUGAGCUUUGCUACUCAACUUCCUCACUUCAAAUCAGAGAAGAGUUGCUUGUGGUUGUGGUGGGACCUUUAGUGCUGAAUGCAGCGAUACUUCCUUUGGUUCUGAUCAGAUGGGGCUGUCAGCUACUGUUUGCCUCCUGCCCUGACGUCUUGUCAAAGUUAAUCAUUACCAUGGGACUAUGGACAGUUCUAGACCCACUGGCAGUGGGUCUAGUGGAUACUGUCCUGGGGCGGCUUACUCAUAAUGGGGAGAUUCCUGUAGCUGAUGCAGCAAAGCUCUACUGGGUGUUUGUAAGAACCAAGCAUUCAGGAGUUCUCAGUGUAAUGCUCACAGUGCUAAUUUACAGCCUCCUGUUCAUCAUUUCUUCUUUGAUUUUAUAUUUGUAUUGUCUCAGAUUGCACAAUGAUUCUUGGAUAUUAGAUGCAUUUCAGCGCAUCCAUACUGAAGAAACCAAGUUUUUCAUACCAUAUGAUUUGGAGAUUUCCAAUCAGGAGCUCAGUUACAUAGUGAAAAGGUCUGAGCAAUGGAGAGGAAUCCAUGGUGAAAGGAAGAAGCCAUUUUUUAUUGUAUUUGACUGCUAUCGCUAUACAAAUCUUGCAACUUGA